GUAAUUCUGAUGUCUGGUGUCAUCCCACUGUGCAGGAAUUCGUACUUGUGCCUGUAGGCAAGAAACGGACAAAAGACGUGAGGGCACCCUGGCUGUUCUCAAAGGGAAGCCUUGUGCAGAUAGGUGUCUUUUGGGGUGCCUGAAUGUGGCAUGGGACUCAAAGGCAGCGAUACCAAUGUAAUGGUGUCUGGGGGAGAGCCACCGGCUCAGCUGAGGCAUGAGAGGAGCUGCCAUUUCCGCACGCAGAUGCCUGUCCUGGUUAUAUGUUACUUCUGUGGUUCUGACUGGAAACAUGCCUUUCGGUAAGCUAAACCUUUCAUUUCAAUGGCAAAGGGCCUAACUGUUUUGAAAGUGACAUCUGUAGGCCCAGAUUGUAUCAGCUAGAUCCUUCAACAAGAGGUAAGUAUUCAGCUCCCUCUCCUUUCCUUAGCAUUUGCACUUAAAUACCUGGUCAAAUUUAGCUCAAUGUACCCAACAAGUGUAAGCAGGUUUGUAAGUAAUUGUGGCCGGCUGCAUCUGUAAUCCUCUUUAUGAAUUUGCAUUAACUUCCAAGUGAUGCUUAAGUUCCAAAGAACAGCUAGAGAGAGAGCUUUAAACUCAAAAUCAAUGAGAGCUGCUUAAAGCCCCAUUAGACAUUUCCUGGCAUCUAUUUAAAAAAAAACCAAAGAGACCAGCUGUGCUUUGAACUACACAAGCCUCUUUCAAAGAAGAGGGUCAGGUGCCCAAAGCACCUGUAGGGUUUUUUUCCCAUUCUGUAGUAUUUGCUGUAUUGAAAAAGUUUUACAUAAAAUGACUGUUUGGUGGUUUCCACUGUACAGAACUCUAUAAAAACAGACCCCAAAUCUCCAUGUGUGAAAGCAAGACCAAGGAAGGAUGGGCAGAGCCCCUGGCAUGUUACGUGCAAGGCUCUAUCACCUUGGCAGCUUGCAGAGGGAGGGACAGGACAAAGGGAGCAGCAGCCAGCAGAGAGAAGCAGCUCCUCAGGUCUUGGAAAUGUGCAAGUGCUGGAUCACUAUAAUUAAAAGAGAAUCUACUAAUUA